GACGAACGCUGGCGGCGCGCCUAACACAUGCAAGUCGAACGGAGCUGAUAGAAGCUUGCUUUUCUUAGCUUAGUGGCGAACGGGUGAGUAACGCGUGAGUAACCUGCCCUGGAGUGGGGGACAACAGUUGGAAACGACUGCUAAUACCGCAUAAGCUCACGAUCCGGCAUCGGAUUGAGGGAAAAGGAUUUAUUCGCUUCAGGAUGGACUCGCGUCCAAUUAGCUAGUUGGUGAGGUAACGGCCCACCAAGGCGACGAUUGGUAGCCGGACUGAGAGGUUGAACGGCCACAUUGGGACUGAGACACGGCCCAGACUCCUACGGGAGGCAGCAGUGGGGGAUAUUGCACAAUGGGGAAACCCUGAUGCAGCGACGCCGCGUGGAGGAAGAAGGUUUUCGGAUUGUAAACUCCUGUCGUUAGGGACGAUAAUGACGGUACCUAACAAGAAAGCACCGGCUAACUACGU
rnacentral:rRNA from 1 species